rnacentral:rRNA from 1 species
UAAAAGAGCGAUCUACUUUGGAGGGGCCUGCGGCCCAUCAGUUAGUUGGUGAGGGUAACGGCCCACCCAAGACGGCGACGGGUAGGGGACCCUGAGAGGGUGGUCCCCCACAAUGGAACUGAAACACGGUCCAUACACCUGCGGGUGGCAGCAGUAGGGAAUAUUGCUUAAUGGGCGAAAGCCUGAAGCAGCAACGCCGCGUGGACGAAGGAGGCCUUCGGGUCGUAAAGUCCUUUAUGAGGGAAGAGGAAGGACGGUACCUCAUGAAUAAGUCUCGGCUAACUACGUGCC